UAAUACGUAGGGUGCGAGCGUUGUCCGGAAUUAUUGGGCGUAAAGGGCUCGUAGGCGGUUUGUCGCGUCGGGAGUGAAAACCCAGGGCUUAACUCUGGGCUUGCUUUCGAUACGGGCAGACUAGAGGCAUGCAGGGGAGAACGGAAUUCCUGGUGUAGCGGUGAAAUGCGCAGAUAUCAGGAGGAACACCGGUGGCGAAGGCGGUUCUCUGGGCAUGUCCUGACGCUGAGGAGCGAAAGUGUGGGGAGCGAACAGGAUUAGAUACCCUGGUAGUCCACACCGUAAACGUUGGGCGCUAGGUGUGGGAUCCAUUCCACGGGUUCCGUGCCGCAGCUAACGCAUUAAGCGCCCCGCCUGGGGAGUACGGCCGCAAGGCUAAAACUCAAAUGAAUUGACGG
rnacentral:rRNA from 1 species